UGGAUCCAGACUUUGAUCCUGGCUCAGGAUGAACGCUAGCUACAGGCUUAACACAUGCAAGUCGAGGGGCAGCAUGACGAUAGCUUGCUAUCGUUGAUGGCGACCGGCGCACGGGUGAGUAACGCGUAUCCAACCUGCCCUUGUCCAUCGGAUAACCCGUCGAAAGGCGGCCUAACACGAUAUGCAGUUCUCAGCAGGCAUCUAACGAGAACGAAAUGUAAAGGAGAAGGAUGGGGAUGCGUCUGAUUAGCUUGUUGGCGGGGUAACGGCCCACCAAGGCGACGAUCAGUAGGGGUUCUGAGAGGAAGGUCCCCCACAUUGGAACUGAGACACGGUCCAAACUCCUACGGGAGGCAGCAGUGAGGAAUAUUGGUCAAUGGGCGAGAGCCUGAACCAGCCAAGUAGCGUGCAGGAUGACGGCCCUAUGGGUUGUAAACUGCUUUUAUGCGGGGAUAAAGUGAGCCACGUGUGGCUUAUUGCAGGUACCGCAUGAAUAAGGACCGGCUAAUUCCGUGCCAGCAGCCGCGGUAAUACGGAAGGUCCGGGCGUUAUCCGGAUUUAUUGGGUUUAAAGGGAGCGUAGGCCGUCUGGUAAGCGUGUUGUGAAAUGUCGGGGCUCAACCUGGGCAUUGCAGCGCGAACUGUCAGACUUGAGUGCGCGGGAAGUAGGCGGAAUUCGUCGUGUAGCGGUGAAAUGCUUAGAUAUGACGAAGAACUCCGAUUGCGAAGGCAGCCUGCUGUAGCGCAACUGACGCUGAAGCUCGAAAGCGUGGGUAUCGAACAGGAUUAGAUACCCUGGUAGUCCACGCGGUAAACGAUGGAUGCUCGCUGUUUGCGUCUGACGUAAGCGGCCAAGCGAAAGCGUUAAGCAUCCCACCUGGGGAGUACGCCGGCAACGGUGCAACUCAAAUGAAUUGACGGA
rnacentral:rRNA from 1 species